AUCUGAUGAGAAUUCACUAAUCCCUGGUGGCUAAACAGAAUCCUCCUGCUUGCUUACUGUGGUGGAAAAUUCCUCUAGUCUAGCACAGUAGUUCUCAAAGUGAGAUCCCCCAGACAAGUAGCAUCAACAGGGAGCUUGUUCAAAUGCAACUUCUCAGGCCCCAUCCAAGAUCUACUGAAUCAGAAACUCUGGGAGUGACACAUGGCAAUCUGCGUUUUAACAAACCCUCUAAAUAAUUCUGAUGCACACUAAAUUUUAAGAACAACUGAAAGCAGAAAACUUUUUGAGCUCUACAACUAGAAGUAAGAAUAUUGAAAUGUAAGAACAUAGGUGAGAGCUCUUCAAAGUGGAUUAGCUACAGAUAAAUGUAAAUAAAUUUUAACUCACUGCGUUUGAUCUGUUUUUCAAUUCUUUUUGAUGGAAAUAAGUCAACCAAAACACCAGUCCUCACCCUUUUCCUCAGCCACAUGCAAGACUCAUGUUCAUUAAAGUCAAGGCUUAAUAAGGCUUGCAACAUCGAUCAGAUGGGCUGCAGUUUAUGAGAAAGUGUCAGCCAGACCCUUCCACUGGAGAAAACAUUGUAAAUGAACAAAAUGGCUGGGUCUCUAGCAGAAUAUUGAAUCAUGCCUUGACCUGGGGAAUGAAAGCCAUGAACAGUAGAUCAAGACAGAAGAAACCUGAUCCCUCACACUGGGGUAUACAUAGGAGCCCUGGAUUAACUCCUUCCAGACUUCAUGAGAGAAAUAAACUUCUGCCGUAUUUAA